CUGCGUAUUACUCCAUGUUGCUUCCACAGGUUAAGCUAUCAUGCUGGCACCUGUGGGAGAUCUUCACGUUAACAGAGUACUUGAUUAUGCUGUCUGAUCUGGCCAUGUGUCAGAUUUACUGAAGUAAAAACUUUCAACAACGGAUCUCUUGGCUCUCGCAUCGAUGAAAAACGCAGCGAAAUGCGAUAGGUAAUGUGAAUUGCAGAAUUCAGUGAAUCAUCGAAUCUUUGAACGCACAUUGCGCCCUUUGGUAUUCCUUACGGCAUGCCUGUUCUAGCGUCACUACACACCUUAUCACAAUAUUUGUGGUCUUGGCAGGAGUGAAUUGCUGGUCUAUGGAAGUAUUCCAGCAGUACACAAUGCUAAAAAAUAUGGGAAGGUUACCAGAUAUGAACAACAGACUUUGUAAAUGGUUGUAGGACCUAGAUCAGUCACAAGUCAUGUCUGGUCCCUUACCUUAAGGACCCCCAUCCU
rnacentral:sRNA from 1 species